CNCCAGGCACAAGAAAGGGCAGAUGGG
rnacentral:piRNA from 1 species